UAUAUUUGCGGUUCAAAAUCAUACAUAAUAAUCAUUAAAAAUAAUAUUGGAAUG
rnacentral:ncRNA from 1 species